rnacentral:lncRNA from 12 species
AGUUUUGACAGUAGCUUUGCCACCCUCUCUGCUAACAAGAGUACCCUUCAGGUACAUCUCGUCUGGCUCUGUCACGAAGAACGCCGUUUUGGCAUCAAAGGGGGUGUUCUGAGCCUCAAGUCUCUCUCUUUCUGGCUUCCGGAGUUGUGUUUCAGUUACAGCUGUGAAUAGAGAUUGGAAAGCUAAUAGGUCACCGUAGCCCCCAGAUCCAGUCUGUGUAACCAGAUCAGAUGGCCACUGCAGUCACCCGGAUCCAGUACGUAUCCAGCCCAGAUGGUGGAUCAGCACCUAGAGAUGACCUCGAGAGCCCUGAAUGUCAGCGGAGACCAGGACAACUAGAUGGACCCCAUAGACAGAUCCCAAGUGAAGACCUUGUCACCUAGACAGCCAUCGGGACAACACCAUGAGACAUUUAAGACUGAUGCUCACAUCAAAGAUCUCAAAUCCAGCGAUGUCCAGCACACCAAUGAAGAACUGUCUAGGCUGCUUGGUGUCCAACAUCUCAUUGAUACGGACGACCAUCCACAAGAACAUUUUCUCAUAGAUAGACUUGCAGAGAGCUGA